ACAGUGCCUGGUGGGUAGUUUGACUGGGGCGGUCUCCUCCCAAAGCGUAACGGAGGAGCACGAAGGUGGGCUAAUCACGGUUGGACAUCGUGAGGUUAGUGCAAUGGCAUAAGCCCGCUUGACUGCGAGAAUGACAAUUCGAGCAGGUGCGAAAGCAGGUCAUAGUGAUCCGGUGGUUCUGAAUGGAAGGGCCAUCGCUCAACGGAUAAAAGGUACUCCGGGGAUAACAGGCUGAUACCGCCCAAGAGUUCAUAUCGACGGCGGUGUUUGGCACCUCGAUGUCGGCUCAUCACAUCCUGGGGCUGAAGUCGGUCCCAAGGGUAUGGCUGUUCGCCAUUUAAAGUGGUACGCGAGCUGGGUUUAGAACGUCGUGAGACAGUUCGGUCCCUAUCUGCCGUGGGCGUUGGAGAAUUGAAAGGGGCUGCUCCUAGUACGAGAGGACCGGAGUGGACGAACCUCUGGUGUUCGGGUUGUGUCGCCAGACGCA
rnacentral:rRNA from 1 species